AAACAGGCAAUCUGGUGAACAACUGGUUCAGUGGGUAGGGUCCUUGUAAACUGUCGCGCCUGCGCCGUGUUGAUCUGGGUGGAACUGUUAUGUACCUUUGCAAUUACUUUUUAGUAGAAGAAUGUGAAGAAUAUUGGCUUUUUAGUCAUAGGAGUGAGUGCUGCCAAACAUCAUGGUCAAAGUCCACCCAUCAAUAGUUCGGGCUGGGGGUCAGUUUGAAAUACAUUCGUCAGAUCUCAACCAAACAUUGUUUCACUGUCUUCUCUGUCCUAAGUUCAAGUUAAAAUCCAGCAGGAGGAUCCAGAGACACAUGGAGGGCCAUAUAAACACUGCAUUGCAUAUUGAAGGUAACAUCAUUUGUAGAUGCAACCAACCAUGCAGACCGACCAGCCAUUAUCAUUGCCCCUACUGUGGUAGAACGAUUCUACGGAAGGAACAUAUGGAAACUCACGUGAAUGGAUGCCAAACUAAAUGUCCACCACCCCUGACUUUG